rnacentral:tRNA from 1 species
GCCCUCGUAGCCCAACGGCAGAGGCCCGACGUUGAGGACGUCGGUUGGUGCGCGUUCGAAUCGCGCCGAGGGCA